UACGUAGGGUGCAGGCGUUAAUCGGAAUUACUGGGCGUAAAGCGUGCGCAGGCGGUUUGCUAAGACAGGUGUGAAAUCCCCGGGCUUAACCUGGGAACUGCGCUUGUAACUGGCAAGCUGGAGUGUGGCAGAGGGGGGUGGAAUUCCACGUGUAGCAGUGAAAUGCGUAGAGAUGUGGAGGAACACCGAUGGCGAAGGCAGCCCCCUGGGUCAACACUGACGCUCAUGCACGAAAGCGUGGGGAGCAAACAGG
rnacentral:rRNA from 1 species